rnacentral:rRNA from 1 species
UACGGAGGGUGCAAGCGUUAUCCGGAUUCACUGGGUUUAAAGGGUGCGUAGGCGGGUUGGUAAGUCCGUGGUGAAAUCUCCGAGCUUAACUCGGAAACUGCCGUGGAUACUAUCAAUCUUGAAUAUCGUGGAGGUAAGCGGAAUAUGUCAUGUAGCGGUGAAAUGCUUAGAGAUGACAUAGAACACCAAUUGCGUAGGCAGCUUACUACACGAUCAUUGACGCUGAGGCACGAAAGCGUGGGGGGCAAACAGG